AGAGAUUCAGGGACCGUGGGUGCUGACAUCCCAGAAGACAUACAUUCAUUUACUUCAGUCGUACACCCAUGACAAUUGCUGCUGGCUUGUAUGUAAUAAGGCACCGAGUUCCCCCUUUCUCCAUAUUGGUGACAGCAUUUGCUAUUGUUACACAUCCAAUGGUUGUAUUUUAACUGUGGAAAAUACCUGCAGAUUGAAAGUGUGACAUUGUGAGGACCCUCCAGCCUAUGUCCAGCAUUUCUCCUGUCUGCAGACCCUGGUUAAGUGACAGCAGAGAAACCUGUGAUGCCAAAAGCCAGGUUUUUUUUCUUUUUUUCCCCCAGAGAUUUUAUGCUACACUGGGUCUAAUCACUAUGAAACAAAAUCCACACCAGAUUAUAAAAUAUCAAGGAUUUUUUUUUUUUGUGGGAUCAUUCCAAAAUGUCGAGACAAGAAGGAUAGUAAAUAAGAGAGAACUGGAGAUAAAGGGAAUGGGAUACACACCCAGCCCAAUUUCCACUGAGUCCCUUUUUGAAGAAGCAAAUCAAAGAACACUAAAUGAUAUUCUGGGAAAUUAAACAAACUGGGAUAUGAACCACAACUUAGAUACUGUUACCUGAGAGCAGGAAUCCUUGGGGUGAUGACAGCAAAGUGUGGUGCAUCAUGGGUGCAUAGGAGGAGCUUGUGAGGGUCCAGAGCCCAAAGGUACAAGGGCAGCUCAGCUUCUCACCGAGCCCCUCCAUCCCUAACCUCUGUUCGGAGAAUCCUGGUGGGGGAGAGAAAGGAGGUGGGUAAUUAGUGUCACAUAUCCUAAAUGGCAAGGUGCUGACAGCUCUCAUAGGCACAUUAACCGAUGGACAGCUUCCCUGGAAUGCACCUGACCCAUGGGCACCUGACACCAGCAGUGCCUCCCAGACACCCUGGAGCUCAGAAAGGCUGACGGACUACUUGAGACUGACAGAAUGGAAAACGCUGAAACAAACUCAGCCAAUUGUGUGUCUCUCCUGCUGGACUUCCUGGUGACUGACAUUUUACUGCAGGAUCUUGGGGUGCAGCCCAGCACUCCUACACUUCACCUCCUGCGGCAUCAUGAUAUUCUGCCUCUCUAGAAAUGCAAGUGACUGAAACCAUCUGUCUUUGAGGUUUCAGAGCUCCCACUGAUGUUUGAGAGCCGUCUGAGCUCAGCCCUUAACCCUACUCAGCUGAGCAAAUGACUGUGUCCCCGAGGAGCACUGGCUACACACUUCAGCAAUACCACUUGCUCUUAGAAGAGACUCGUCCUGGUGGCUGGGGAAGAGGAUGCUUGUUCUCCUUGCUCCUUUUCUCUGAGUUCCCACAUUCUCAGCUCCUUGAGAGGUCUGGUCCCAGAAGGAUCUUGUCACUCAGGCCUUCCCAUUUGCUACUCCAAAGCACUUCUUGGAUCUCUCCGUGAUCCUAAAGUGCCCACAGGUGACACUGUAACUGCAGGUCACAGUGUGUGUGUGUGUGUGUGUGUGUGUGUGUGUGUGUGUGUGUGUGUGUGUGUGUGUGUGUGUGUGUGAUGGAUUCCUGGAUGUCUACUGCUGUCAAAAUGCAGGCUCACGUCGCCUGUGCCCAUGCCUUAUGUGCCAAGCAGAGCGGUCAUCAGGGACAUUGAAUCUGUGAGUGUUUAAGUGUCCUCCAUGUGCCAUGACCUUUUUGGGAAAAGGAUUCAAAACCAAGUAGCAGAGAGAGUUCUGACUUAGAGAUAAGAAGCCGAUAAAGAGUAAAGUCCUGUAAAUCACAGAGCGCAUGAGAUAGGAAGAAUGCAGUGUCUGUGAUGUGCACAGACUGACUGAACACCAAAUCUGUGUCCCAGGGGCACCAUUAGGGCAGGCCCCUCCAGCCAGCCCCUGCUUCCUUCCAGAGCUUCAGCCUCAGCCCUUCCUCUUGUCAGGAAGGCGCUGCUGCUGUUUCCUGUGGAGAAUGUGGAACUCCUCUCCUUCACAGUUGCUUUCUAAGAAAUGGAAGGAUCCAGAAAGAUGCAAGGGGAUGGCACUAAACAUAUACCAACAGAGGGAGUCAGAUGGCAUCAUUUUUUGUCCCACGUGGAAAAGCUCCAGCUAGCUACUCUCGUUUCAAUGCUGUGAACCUGCUACCUUCUCUCCCUGAGAACAAACUGGUUAAGUUUUGCAGAGUGCUUUUGAAAAAGCACAGUGCUGUAAAGUGGCCAGGACUGGAGGAGGCCCCUCACGGAAACCGGGAGGAGAAAGGGCCAGUGGGAGCUCGGGCUUGUCAUUUGCAUAGAACAUUUCA